AAGGAAUCGUUGUAUAGCCUUUCGAUCAGACGGUUCAGGAAAUUUGUUACAGCUUGGUUUUUUCAUUGCUGGGUGUGAUCGAACCAUUUUCUAUAAUGUAACUAAGAAAAUCUACCCUGCUUUGCACUCUGUUAAGCUUUUCCAAGCCUUCGACGACGUCCUUGCUGGGAAUAAUUAUGUCGUCCAUAAAGACAACUGCGUCACAGGUGUUAAUAUGUGCUCUGAGUACUGCCAUAAUGAACCGUCUGAAAACUGCUGAAUGAAUUUAAGGAUGCAAACGUUAUAUGGACCAUCUUUAUAAUUAAGACUGCGAUAAAAAAAUGUGGCCCUUCUAAUUUAUUUUGGCAUACAAGAUUCGAGGCUAACGACAGAAACUUUUAGUUAUAUUUAAGAUCUUUAACUUCGCAGAUAAAGAAUACUUAAAAUAAAUUAGUUUCUAUAAAUUGUCAUCUGAAAGUGUA